UCGAACGGACUCAUACUGAAACCUAGUGAUUUAUGAGUUAGUGGCGGACGGGCCAGUAACGCGUGGAUAACCUGCCGUAUACCGGGGGAUAACACUUAGAAAUAGGUGCUAAUACCGCAUGAGCGCACAGCUCCGCAUGGAGCGGUGUGAAAAACUCCGGUGGUAUACGAUGGAUCCGCGUCUGAUUAGCCAGUUGGCGGGGUAACGGCCCACCAAAGCGACGAUCAGUAGCCGGCCUGAGAGGGUGAACGGCCACAUUGGGACUGAGACACGGCCCAGACUCCUACGGGAGGCAGCAGUGGGGAAUAUUGCACAAUGGGGGAAACCCUGAUGCAGCGACGCCGCGUGAGUGAAGAAGUAUCUCGGUAUGUAAAGCUCUAUCAGCAGGAAAGAUAAUGACGGUACCUGACUAAGAAGCCCCGGCUAACUACGUGCCAGCAGCCGCGGUAAUACGUAGGGGGCAAGCGUUAUCCGGAUUUACUGGGUGUAAAGGGAGCGUAGACGGCAGCGCAAGUCUGGAGUGAAAUGCCGGGGCCCAACCCCGGAACUGCUUUGGAAACUGUGCGGCUCGAGUGCGGGAGAGGUAGGCGGAAUUCCUAGUGUAGCGGUGAAAUGCGUAGAUAUAUGGAAGAACACCAGUGGCGAAAGCGGCUCUCUGGUCUGUAACUGACGCUGAGGUUCGAAAGCGUGGGUAGCAAACAG
rnacentral:rRNA from 1 species